rnacentral:rRNA from 1 species
UGGGGAAUAUUGGACAAUGGGGGGAACCCUGAUCCAGCCAUGCCGCGUGUGUGAAGAAGGCCUUAUGGUUGUAAAGCACUUUAAGCGAGGAGGAGGGUACUGGUAUUAAUACUACCAGCUACUGGACGUUACUCGCAGAAUAAGCACCGGCUAACUCUGUGCCAGCAGCCGCGGUAAUACAGAGGGUGCGAGCGUUAAUCGGAUUUACUGGGCGUAAAGCGUGCGUAGGCGGCUGAUUAAGUCGGAUGUGAAAUCCCUGAGCUUAACUUAGGAAUUGCAUUCGAUACUGGUCAGCUAGAGUAUGGGAGAGGAUGGUAGAAUUCCAGGUGUAGCGGUGAAAUGCGUAGAGAUCUGGAGGAAUACCGAUGGCGAAGGCAGCCAUCUGGCCUAACACUGACGCUGAGGUACGAAAGCAUGGGGAGCAAACAGG